rnacentral:rRNA from 1 species
UACAGAGGGGGCAAGCGUUAUUCGGAAUUAUUGGGCGUAAAGGGCGCGUAGGCGGUUCUUCAAGUCUCUCGUGAAAUCCCUCGGCUUAACUGAGGACGUGCGGGAGAUACUGAAGGGCUUGAGUCCGGAAGAGGGUGGUGGAAUUCCCAGUGUAGCGGUGAAAUGCGUAGAUAUUGGGAGGAACACCGGUGGCGAAAGCGGCUCUCUGGAACGGUACUGACGCUGAGACGCGAAAGCGUGGGGAGCGAACAGG